GGAAAGAGUGGUUGAUUUGGAAUGAGAAAACUCGGAAAUGCAGCUCCAUUUUCUGGGUGACCUUGAGCAAGCUCUUGCUCAAAUUCAGCUUUCUAUUUUGGAAAAUGCAGCUGGCUGCUUAAGGAAGAUAACAUCCACCAGGCGCCUGGCCCAGAAAAAGAGCUCUGUACUAAACGCAAUGAUUUUCUGGAAUCUCAGGGAGGCUUUGCCAACAUAACAUCCUCUGGCAGAAGUGUCAGCCCCUCAUCUUCCAUUGAAAAGGGUCUAAGUGUCAAUGGGUCUGCUCAUCUAGGCCCUGCUGCAGAUUUGGAUCUGAAAUCCUCCUCCUCACAUUCUGAUCUCUCUUCUGAAACCUCAUUGCCUGAGGUCCCAAAGGAUAAAUAUCCCCAGGAAUUCAGCCUGCUUCAGUUGCAGACAAAAGAUGGGCAGCGUCCCGAGUGGACAUUUUACCCACGGUUUAGCAACAAUAUCCACACCUACCACGUUGGCAAGCAGUGCUGCUUUAAGGGGGUCUUCCUCGGCAAUAGGAGGUCUCUAUCAGAAAGGACGGUGGACAAGUGUUUGGGGAAGAAGAAAUACGAUAUUGAUCCCAGGAAUGGAAUCCCAAAGUUAACUCCAGGAGAUAAUCCAUACAUGUGCCCAGAACAGAGUAAAGACUUCUACAAAGCAGGAUCAACUCUCCCGCCAGUGAAUUUUUCAAUAGUGCCUUAUGAAAAGAAACCUGAUACAUUUAUUCCACUGGAGCCUCUUCCACAAAUUCCCAGCUUGCCUUUCUGGGUGAAGGAGAAGGCCAACAAGCUCAAGAAUGAGAUAAGAGAAGUCGAGGAACUUGAAAAUUGGCAGCCGGCGGUCCCCUUCCUGCACAGUUUGCUACCUGCCGGUUCUUUGGACUUUUCAAGACAAUCCUGAACAGGGACAGGUUGAGAAAUCACGCACUGUCUUCUGGAGAGCCUCUUCCAGUUGAUGGCUUCUGUCAGCAUGACUGUCCUAAAUCAAAUGUUUGACUCGAAUGUGGAAUCGCUGUGUUUUGCCCUUUUUAACUUUCUACUUUGGAAACUUUCUUUCCUUCCUUCCUUCCCUCCUUCCUUCCUUCCUACCUUCCUUCCUCUCUCCCUCCCUCCUCCCUCUCUUGCUCUUUCUUUUUGUCUUUUUUAGGGCCGGCCGUACCCGUGGCAUACGGAGGUUCCCAGGCUAGGGGUCUAAUCAGGGCUACAGCUGCCAGCCUACACCAGAGCCACAGCAAUACCAGAACUGAGCUGUGUCUGCAGCCUACACCACAAGCUUAUGGCAAUGCUGGAUCCUGAACCCACUGAGCAAGGCCAGAGAUCAAACCCACAACCUCAUGGUUCCUAGUCGGAUUUGUUUCCGCUGUGCCACGAUGGGAACUCCUAUUCUGAAAACUUUCAAAAUGAUAGAAAAGUUGCAACAAUCAUACGACGAACACCUACAUACUUUUAACCUAGUCUUACAUUGUUAGACUUUGUCCAAAGUUGUACACAUUCUCUCUUUUUCUCAUAUUAUUACUAGUAUUAUUUUGCUCAAUUAUUCGAGAGUGAGUGGCUGACAUCAUUACCCAUUACUCCCACAUGUCUAUAUAUCUUCAGUGUGUAUCUCCUAAGGUCAAGGGUAAUUUCUAACAAUGACAAUACAAAUAUCAAAUUUGGAAAAUUUAACAUUGAUAUGAUACUACUAGUGUACAGUUCACAUACAAGUUUUUUUUAAUUUAAUUUUUUUUUUUUUUUUUUUUUGCUGUGCUGGCAGCAUGCAGAAGUUCCUGGGUCAGGCAUUGAACCCAUGUCACAGCAGUGACAAUGGCUGGAUCUGUAACUGCUAGGCCACCAGGGAAUUCCUUAUAUUUAGUCUUUUCUAGGGCCCCUCCCGUGGCAUAUGGAUGUUCCCAGGCUAGAGGUCUAAUCAGAGCUACAGCUGCCUGUCUACACCACAGCAACAGCAACUCGGGAUCCAAGCUCCAUCUUCGACCUACACCACAGCUCAUGGCAACGCUGGAUCCUUAACCCACUGAGCAAGGCCAGGGAUCGAACCUGAAACCUCAUGGUUCCUAAUCCAAUUCGCUAACCAUUGAGCCACGACGGGAACUCCUAAAUUUCGUCUUUUAAGGAUCAAAUCAAUAGUAAGAUGCAGAUAUUAUGAGAGUUUUCAUUACUUUUGGUAAAACUAUUCUCAUUUUAUUAAUACUUUUUGAGAUUUUUCUCUACUGUUCACUCGCUGAGUAGCUGGGAAAUACAGUGGCAGUUUGGCAAUCUCUAUCUCAUUGGGUUUUAGGUAUGUCAACUAAUUUGCCCCUCAAAUUUAUGAGGUAUGAAUUGUUAACUCCACUUUUCAGAUAAGAAUACUGACAUUCAGCAAGUUUAUUACUCAAGCUGAUGAGAGAGGCAAGAUUUCAACCCAGCCUGAUUUUGUCUAAUUUUUUAUCUUUUUUUUUUUUUUUUUUUUUUUUUUUUAGGGCUGCACCGUGGUAUAUGGAGGUUCCCAGGCUAGGGGUCUAAUCACAGCUGUAGCUGCCAGCCUAUGCCACAGCCACAGCCUUGCCAGAUGUGAGCCAUGUCUGCAACCCACACCACAGCUCAUGGCAACACCGAAUCCUUAACCCACUGAACGAGGCCAGGGAUGGAACCUGCGUCCUCGUGGAUACUAGUCAGAUUCAUUUCCGCUGAGCCACGACAGGAGUUCCUUUCUCAUGUUUGUGGAUGGUAACUCUCUACUAUUAAUCCACAUAAACUGAAUAGCAAUGAAUGAAAAUCUCUGACAUGACAUUUCUGCAGCUUUCUGGAACAACCACUGAUCUCUUGGGGUUGCCCUUAUUGUAAUGAUAUAUAUAUAUUUUUUCCACCCCACAGCAUAUGGAAGUUCCUGGGCCAAGAAUUGAAUCCCAGCCCCAGCUAUGAUUUAUGCUACUUUUGUGAGCAUUUGUUAUGUAUCAAAUAUUAUGGUUAGGUUUACCAUCUCAUUUAAAUCCUUAGGACAGGGAGUUGUGGCGCAGUGGAAAUGAAUCUGACUAGUAUCCAUGACCAUGUAGGUUCAAGCCCUGGCCUCCCUCAGUGGGCUAAGGAUCCCGUGUUGCCCUGAGCUGUGGUACAGAUUGCAGAUUCAGCUCGGAUCCUGCGCUGCUGUGGCUGUGGUGUAGGCCGGCAGCUAUAGCUCUGAUUAGAUCUCUGGCGUGGGAACUUCCAAACGCAGCGGGUGCAGUCCUAACCCUCCCCCCGCCCCCCCCCCAAUCCUUAGGACAACCCUCUGAAGUUGUACUAUUAUUAUCUCCAUUUUACAGGUUAGGAAAUUUGGUCUUAAAUAAACAAUGGGUUUUU
rnacentral:lncRNA from 1 species